CCCCUCUCAGGGUCGCACCUGGAGAGUUUCCAGUACUCUUCCAGGCUUGGUUAUGGGAGAGAGAGUCAAGCAGAGGCAUAUCCAUUCCAUUCCUAGCUUGGCCAGUGGCUAGCGAGUGGAAGGCCAUCUGCUACUCAC